rnacentral:rRNA from 1 species
UACAGAGGUCUCGAGCGUUAAUCGGAGUCACUGGGCUUAAAGGGUGCGUAGGCCGCCUCGCAAGUGCUUUGUGAAAUCCCACGGCUCAACCGUGGAAUGGCUUGGCAGACUGCGGGGCUUGAGGUCGGUAGGGGCAGCCGGAACUCUAGGUGGAGCGGUGAAAUGCGUAGAUAUCUAGAGGAACGCCAAAGGUGAAGACAGGCCGCUGGGCCGAUUCUGACGCUGAGGCACGAAAGCGUGGGGAGCGAACGGG